AUUGAACGCUGGCGGCAGGCCUAACACAUGCAAGUCGAGCGGGGUUUUCGGACCUAGCGGCGGACGGGUGAGUAAUGCGUAGGAAGCUGCCCGAUAGAGGGGGAUACCAGUUGGAAACGACUGUUAAUACCGCAUAAUGUCUACGGACCAAAGUGUGGGACCUUCGGGCCACAUGCUAUCGGAUGCGCCUACGUGGGAUUAGCUAGGUGGUGAGGUAAUGGCCCACCAAGGCGACGAUCUCUAGCUGGUUUGAGAGGAUGAUCAGCCACACUGGAACUGAGACACGGUCCAGACUCCUCCGGGAGGCAGCAGUGGGUAAUAUUGGACAAUGGGCGCAAGCCUGAUCCAGCCAUGCCGCGUGUGUGAAGAAGGCCUUCGGGUUGUAAAGCACUUUCAGCGAGGAGGAAGGGAUGUAUGUAAAUAGCAUGCAUUUUUGACGUUACUCGCAGAAGAAGCACCGGCUAACUCUGUGCCAGCCGCCGCCGUAAGAC
rnacentral:rRNA from 1 species